rnacentral:rRNA from 1 species
CCUACGGGGGGCAGCAGUGGGGGAUAUUGGACAAUGGGGGGAACCCUGAUCCAGCGACGCCGCGGGAGUGAAGAAGUAUUUCGGUAUGUAAAGCUCUGUCAGCAGGGAAGAAUGCAAUGACGGUACCUGACCAAGAAGCCCCGGCUAACUACGUGCCAACAGCCGCGGUAAUACGGAGGGGGCAAGCGUUAUCCGGAAUUACUGGGUGUAAAGGGAGCGUAGACGGCUGUGCAAGUCUGGAGUGAAAGGCGGGGGACCAACCCCGGGACUGCUCUGGAAAC